AGAGUUUGAUCCUGGCUCAGAGUGAACGCUGGCGGCGUGCCUAACACAUGCAAGUCGAACGAGAACGGAUAUAAGUUUACUUAUAUUGUCAGCUAAGUGGCGCACGGGUGAGUAAUAUAUAGUUAAUCUGCCCUGAAGAAGAGAAUAAUUGUUGGAAACGACUUGUAAUGCUCUAUAUGCCUUUAUCACAUAAGUGAGCAAGGGAAAUAUUUAUAGCUUCGGGAUGAGACUGUACGGUAUCAGCUAGUUGGUGAGGUAAUGGCUCACCAAGGCUAUGACAUCUAACUGGUUUGAGAGGAUGAUCAGUCACACUGGAACUGAGACACGGUCCAGACUCCUACGGGAGGCAGCAGUGGGGAAUAUUACACAAUGGAGGAAACUCUGAUGCAGCAACGCCGCGUGGAGGAUGACACAUUUCGGUGCGUAAACUCCUUUUAUUAGGGAAGAUAAUGACGGUACCUAAUGAAUAAGCACCGGCUAACUCCGUGCCAGCAGCCGCGGUAAUACGGGGGGUGCAAGCGCUACUCGGAAUCACUGGGCGUAAAGAGCAUGUAGGCUGAUUAGUAAGUUGGAAGUGAAAUCCUAUGGCUCAA
rnacentral:rRNA from 1 species